UCUUCCAAUCUGGGGAAUUGCUGGAUCAUAUGGUAGUUCUGUUUUUAAUUUAUUUUGAGGAAUCUCCAUCAUGUUUUCAAUAGUGGCUGAGCCAGUUUAUGUUCCCACCAACAGUAUAUGAGUGUUCCCUUUUCUC